UAAAAACAUCAACUCAAAAAGUUUAAAGUGAAAUUAUUAAAAUACCCUUAUUAUUUAUCUAAAUAUUUUGUUUUUCUUUUUUACAAGAAAAAGUCCACCAAAUUAUUAAAACCUACUACAUUCACUUAUUUAGAAGAGAGCCCUUGCUUCUAUGCAACUCUUCCUAAUGGUUGUGAAAACAUUAACUGACGCUACUAAGAGAAACAAAGAAGCAAAAAAUAUGUGUUCCGCAUACUACUACUAUGACUCAUUUAUUUUGGUCAUAUUUCUCCAUUAAGGUAUAUUUAGUCCCUUUUUGUUUUUCUGAUAUCUAAUUUUCAUGACAAGCAUAUCGAUUCAACUGUCUUUGUUGGAAGACCCUUUGUUGAAGCUUAUAGAUCUGUCUAUGAUGCUUCUUAUGAAAGUGUGAAGUUAUAUCACAAUAUAUGAUUGCGUAAUAGUGUUAGUUAAGUUCAAGGCUUCAAGAUUUUAUUAGUGCCCUUUUUUAACCAAAAAAAAUAUUAUGAUUUUAAAGUUUGAAAGGGUUUUUAUUAUUAAAGUGACAAAAGAUGAAAAUUUUGUUUCAAAAAAGGAUUUAUUUUUAACUAAAUUCAGAGUCGCUACUAGACAUAAAUCAGGUGUGCCAAGUCACCUUUGGAAAAUCUUUUUCAAAACGAUUUGACUCUUUAAAACUGGUUUGCGAACAGAGAUUUCGGUUAAGGAAUUCUAUUGACCGAGGGAAAGGUGUUAGGCACUCCUCGAUCCCGUGGUUCGACCACGGUCGCUUGGUGAAGUAUAUCGGCUAAUUUGACACUACAAAUGUAUAAACCACACAAAAGCACGCAAAACAAUCAAUCAAGCAAACAAAACGAAACAAUCCAAAAUUUAGUGUCCAGUUCAAUUAUACAGUCCGAAAUAGAAAAAUGCAAAAAAUAUAAAACCUAUUCUAAAGUAAUCCUAAACUAAGCUCCAAUGCUUUACCCGAUGCCUCGGGCCUCGAUCACGAACCUCCGAGUACAUAAUACGGCGGGGCAUUCCCCGGUUAAUAGGUACAAUGUGACCUCGGGGCAUUCCCCGGUGAAUGAAUACAUUUUCAAAUCUUGUACGAUAAAGUAAAAGACUAUUCACACGCACACUCACACAUUCAACCAAACACCAUUCCUAAAUUUUGCCUACCCGAACCUAAAUUUUUGCCUAUCAUAUCACAACUCUAUCACACUCAAUAUCAUCAAUGCAUCAAAUAAUGAAUAUUCAUUUUUUAUCAAUCCCCAAUGUUCGAUCCCAAAUCAAUGAUUAACUUAAAUCUUCAACUACCAAUUCAAUUUUCAACUUGGAAUCCAACAUCAACCAACAUGCAAUUCAAGUGAUUAACCAACAUCCGUGAUCCAAACAACAUCAAAUCAAAUAGAGCAAGAUUCACACAAUAUUAAUUUGCCACACAAAAAUAUCAAAAUUUAAAAAUUACUCAAGAAAAGGGAUUAGAAAUGGACCUCAACGUCACUUUUCAAUCACGUAUUAUUCAAUUAGACGAGACGAGUCCACACAGGAAACCUCAAUGUUGAGACUUCAAUUCCAAACUCGCAAUAAUCCCAAAUCCACAAACCGAUUAACUCGGACGAGAAUCGAACAAUGACUGAAAAAACAUCUGAACGACCUUAAUAGAGAAAAACCCACAAUUGCUUAACCCAGCUGAAUUUCAUCGGAAUUGAAAUAAAACGUUAAGGAUCGGAGCUAUAGCAAAUUUCAGGUGGACUAUCAUCGAAUUUGACAAACAGGGAUUGGACUUGGCGGAUUUUUGCUGAUUUCGAUCGAACAUUAGGAGCGGGUGUCGAAUUUGGAGAUUUCUCGACGAUUUUGGCCCGGAAUGAAAUUGGUGAUACUAUUUUCCAGCGGAUUUCUCUAGAACAGUAGUCAAACAGUGAUCGUCGGAGUUCUUAGCAAUGGUUUCGUCAGAUUUUCGAUGAGAAUAUCUCUCUCUCGCUCGAUUUUAGGUCCCACUCCCUUGAUACCCUCACUUCCAUCUCUGAUUUUGACAAUUUCACACACGAUUUUGCUCAUUCACUCUCAUUGAUCUCUCACUCUUGAUCUUCUCCCUCUUACACUAUUUUUCUCUCUAUCUUCCUCGAUUCUGUGUAUGUGAGUGUGUAGUGUGUAAAGAAUUCAUGUUGUUGUGAUGUAUUAAUGGUGUUGUUGUUUAAAAAAAAUGGAAGCUGAUAGAGUAGUGGUGUGUGCAGGUAUGGUUGUGCGUAUAUUGGUCGAAUGAAAAAAAUAAAGAAAAAAAAUGGAUGAGUGGUGUCUUCUAUGGUAUCGAUGUUGUGAAGAAAAAAUGGACCCCUUCUAUGCGUGCAGUUCCCCUCUCAUUUCUUUUGUGUGUUUACCCUCUAGAUCAAAAUGGGGGAUGAUCUGUGUGUGUUUGUGUGAGGUCCCCAUGGAAUUGUGUGUGUUCCCUCCUUAUAUUGUGAUUGUGAUUGUAUAUAAAUGAAAAUUAAGCCUCUUUUCUGUAGUGGAAUCUCGUGGGACCCUUUUUCUUUUUUUUCGUUAAAAUAAAUAAAAAAUAUGAGGGAGGAGGCUGCUUAGAGGUGAGUUGGGGUAAGGGGUGUAGUAGUGGUUAGGAUGAGAUAAAAUUAGUUAGAGUUAUUUUUGUUGUAAUUUUGUUAUUUUGUUUCCUUGUGGGGAAAGUGUAGAAUAGGUGAGGGUGUAUGAUAAGGAGAGACAAAAAUGAAUAAAAUAGAUUUUAGAAGGGACAAAGUUAGGUAUCUACAUCAUGCCCCUUUUUGGGUGUAAACACAAAGUGUUUUCAGACAAAAAGGUAGCUAACGAGACCAAAUUUUGACCCGACUAUUAUCAAGGAAAGAAAUAGAAGAAAGAAGGACAACCGAGUUGGAGAGUCGAGUGAGGUCCUGUCAAGGUUCCGGUCCGCGACUCUGUCAUUACAUUAAAAAUGAAAAUUAAAAGUUAAAACAUAAAUGAAAUUACAAAAAUCCUAUCUAUGUUGCUUCUUUUGGACUCUUGACUUGAGUUUCAUCACCCUAUUCUUCAGGCGGGCUCCUGACUUACAAUUUCUCCAACUUGUUGCUUGGCUUUCAGUUUCUUCACCCUAUUCUCCAGGCAGGCUCCUGACUCGCUAUUUUUCAAUCUGCUAACCUUUAAUUUCUUCACAUUGUUGUCUGACUUUCAACUUCUUCACCCUGUUCUCCAGGCGGGCUCCUGACUUGCUAUUUCUCAACUUGUUGACUUUCAAUUCCUUAACCUUGUUUCUUGACUUUCAAUUUCAUCACCCUAUUCUUCAGGUGGGCUCCUGACUUGUUAUUUCAUUACCCUGUUCUUCAUGCGGGCUCCUGACUUUCAAUUCCAUUAUCUUUAGCUUGAUUUUCAAUUUCUUCACCCUGCUCUCUAGGCGGACUCUUGACUUGCUAUUUUUCAAUCUAUUGACUUUUAAUUUCUUUACCUUGUUGCCUAACUUUCAACUUCUUCACCCUGUUCACCAGGCGGGCUCCUGGCUUGCUAUUUUUCAACUUGUUGACUUUCAAUUUCUUAACCUUGUUGCUUGACUUUAAAUUUCAUCCCCCUGUUCUUCAAGUGGGCUCCUAACUUGUUAUUUCAUCACUAUGUUCUUCAGGCGGGCUCCUGACUUUCAAUUUCAUCACCCUGUUUUCAGACGGGCUCUUGACUUUCAAUUUCAUCACCUUGUUCUUCAAGCAGGCUCCUGAAAUCACAUCAAAACUAAAAAUAAAAUUAUUCCAAGCAAAGAUUAUUAUAAAGAGAUUCCAUUUGCCAGAAAAGUAAAGUUCCAAACAACAGGAAUUAAAUUUUUUGCCCUAGUUGAUCAUAGGAGGACUUUUGUGAAAGUCACAUCAUAACUACUUGCAUGUUGCAAUGAUGAAUCAAGACUCUGACCAAUAAAUGCAUCUACAAUGAUGAAUCAAGACUCUGACCAACAAAUGCAUCUCUUGAGAGUAAAAUUAAAUUACCAAGACUAGGAAGUACGUUUCCUAAAUAUUAAGUCGGGAAUUCUGACUAGAAAGUGCAUCUUCUAGUGAUAAAAGUUUUAAGUUUAAAUAUGUGCCAUCUGAUAAAUAAAAACUAACAAGGAAGUGCAUCUACUAAGGGUUAAGUGCAAUGACUCGACUUGAAAGUGUAUUUUCUAGGAAUUAAGGGGAAUGACUCGACCAGGAAGUACAUCUUCUAGGAAUCAAGAGGGAUGACUCGACUAGGAAGUACAUCUUCUAGGAAUCAAGAGGGAUAACUCGACCAGGAAGUACAUCUUCUAGGAAUCAUAGGGACUGACUCAACCAGGACGUAAAUCUUCUAGGAAUCAAGGGGAAUGACUCGACUAGGAAGUACAUCUUCUAGAAAUCAAGACUUAAGUUAGAAAGUGCAUCACCUAACAAGUAAAUUUUGAAUUACCCAACCAAGGAAGUGUGUUUCCCUACCAAUGCCGCUUGAAUUACCAAAACAAAGAAGUGCGUCUCCUUACCAAUGUCACUUGAAUUACCAAAAUAAGGAAGUGCGUCUCCUUACAAAUGUCUCUUGAAUUACCAAAACAAGGAAAUGCGUCUCCUUACAAAUGCCUCUUGAAUUACACAAAUAUGGAAGUGCAUCUUCUUACAAAUGUUACUUGAAUUACCCAAAAAAGGAAGUGCGUCUCCUAACAAAUGUCGCUUAAAUUACCCAAACAAGAAAGUCUGUCUCCUUACAAAUAUCGCUUAAAUUAACAAAACAAGGAAAUGCGUCUCCUUACAAAUGUCUUUUAAAUAACUCAGCCAAGGAAAUGUUCUCCUAAGGGUUAGCUAGAAGGACUCAACUAGAAAGUACGACUUCUGGGAGUGAAGGUUCAAUUUAGGAAGUGCGUCACCUAAUAAAUGAAACCUGAAUUACUCAGAUAAAGAGGUACAUCUCUUAGGGGUUGCAUGGAAGGACUCGACCAGAAAGUGCAUCUUCUAGGAGUAAAGGCUUAGGUUUGGAAGUAUGUCACCUAGCAAGCCAAAACUUAAACUACCCUAACAAGAAAGUGUGUCUCCUAAGGGUUAAGUGGAAGGACUCAACGAAAAAGUGCGACUUCAAGGAUUGAAGGUUCAAUUUAGGAAGUGCAUCACCUAAUAAAUGAACCUGAAUUACCCAGACAACGAAGAAAGUCUUCUAGAAAUAUUGUAUUAUGAGUUCUACCAUGGUUUUGAUCACCAAAUUUGUGCAGCAACAUUGCCUCUUGCAUUUGUAGAAGUGAGAAAUUACGGCCUUUGUUGUUUAGGCUCUGAAAUCCUUGAUCUGAAUGUAACAUGUGUUCCUGUUUCAUACAAAGAAAACUUGUGAGUUUAAAAACAUGGUGGCUGGUUUGUGGGUUUAGCUUUCGCGGUAAUCUCCCUUGCCCUCGUCACAUUUAAUCUCGCUUCCAACCAUUAACAUAUAUCAUUGACUUGCUGUAUUAUUGACCCAAGCUCAGGUUAUUAAGAGUGACUCUGAAACAAAUAUAGUAUCUCUGCUUUGUCUUGCUUCUCAGAUAAACCCUUUGAACCUUGAUAUUUUCAUGAAUUUCCAAACUUGUCUAUUGACAAAACUUUUUGCAUGUCUUAUUUUGGCUCACAAUAAUGUAUCUUUCAUAUGUUGACGUUUUGUCUUGCUUUAUGUAAUUGAAGAAGCUGGUAGCCAGUUUUAAAAUCUUCUCACUUAUUUUGAAUGGACUUGACUCAAAGACAAAAGAAAAAUGACAAUGAUUUUUAUUUGGACAACUGACUCAAGAAAAUAAAAUAAAAACAUAAAGAAUAAAGAAAAUACAAUAAAUAUCCCCAUUUGAAAUAAAAAAAUAAAAAAUUUAUCUAAAAACGACAAUCAACUAUAAUGAUAUGCCAUGCAUUUUGGAUUAAGCUGCUUAAUCUUUCCAUCCAAACUUUCUACCAAUUGUUGUUGAGUUAAUGUCCAUGAAACUGAGUUGUUUCCUUAGGUCAAUUGCAUUUAAGACCUCAUUCGGCUAGUGACGCCUUGAAGGAUUUUUGCCAACAAGCCUCUCUCAUUUUCUUUGAGCUCGCCAUCGCCUCAUGGUGCCUGUGAGGGUUUUCACCAAUAAGACUCUCUCAUUUUUAUAUCUCUCAACUUACCAUCAUCUCAUGGUGCCCGUAAGGGUUUUCACUAAUAAGACUCUCUCAUUCUUAUUUCUCUCCUAAUUUUUAAUGCUGAGGAAGACAAAUAGUGCCCAAAAUGCGUGAUCAUAUCAAUUGCGUACGUAGCCUUAACAUUCUCAAAGAUUGAUCCAAAGGUUUUUAUUUGGUUGUAACUUGGAUUUUGGAUAGGACCAGAAAGAAAGAAUGGCAUGAGGCCCAAACGACACUUGAAGUGGGGUAGGACUUACAACUUUUGGAAUCGACUCAAAGAAUGAGGAUUAACUCAUGACCCACUUUCUUUUGAUUAGAAAAUUCUAAAUUUUUUAUUUGGUUGGACCGAGCCUCGAGUAGGGCAGCCUACGUAUCUUACCCCCAAGAAAGGAGAAUCAGGUCGCACAUAGUUCCGGCAGUUUGUUAUUUUGCUUGAUUUUGAUUUCUUCUUUUAUUUUUUUCUUUUAUUGACUCUUUUUUUCCUUUUUUUCUUUGAAACUUUUUCUGGCUUUAUUUUUCUUGACACUCUUCUUUUUCUUUCUUUUUGACACAUUUCUUUUCUGACUCUUUUAAUUUUUUGGCACUUUUCUUUUGAGUUUUGCUGACUCUAUCUUGAUUCCAAAAGAGGUGUAUGAAAUAAAAUAAAACUAAGGCUCAAAUGGGGUAAACAAAGGAUGACACAAUGUUUGGAUAGCAGAAUAAAAUGUCUUCGUCAUAUCAAUCCUUGAAAAUGCAAGUACAUGGCAUGCAAUAUGAAAGUGGAAGAUAAAGAUCAUUUGUGACACUUUAUCAACACUAAUUUUAACUGAGUAUGUGCGUCGCUACUUUUUCUGCGUUUGUCAAACAUAAAACUCCACUUUUGUUGUACAUCCCUCACAUUGAAUGACUCAUACUUUCGUGGAAUUGAUUUUCUUUCUGUUCCUCUUGAUAUAGGAUCACACAUUUAUUAUUUGACCUAAUUGAGACAUGUCUUUCAAUUGAUGACCAAGUUAUUAUGGUGAUUCUAAAAAUAAUUGCCUUAGUUUUCAAAGAAGACUUCAACUUGUCACCAAAUGUCUCAACACUCUACCUAUUUGCUUAGAUGCUCUCUUUCCUAACUUUAACCCUCUGAUUUAAUGUUUCAUGGUUGAAUUGGAUUCUAAGAUCUGACUGAGAAUUUCACAGGCAUGUAUAUCACUAGAAUUAACACAAAAUAUACUGUAUAAAGAAAACAAACAAACAACACAUAUUUAAAACACAAAGGGAAAGGGACACUUUAUUUAGUUGAAAUAAAAGAUAGAAGGGUUUGAACAUAAAAUACAAAGGGACAAAACAAGAUAGAUCCCAAACUACAAUCCUAAAAUAAUUCGAAUAACAGAAAAAAAAAAGAAAACAGACUACCAAACAUCCAUCGUAAAAGGGAGAGAAGUGACUUCCCAAUUGCUGAGCUUUAUAUCUUUGCCACUGGUUUGCAUAUCAACAUGACUAGAGCUUUCCUUUCUGCACCACAAUUAAUCCAUCUUGAAUCAUCUUUUCAAAUUCUCUUUUCAAAUCUCAACAAUCUUCAAUACUAUGACCCUGAACACCAGAAUGAUAUGUGCAUCAUAAAUUAGGAUCAAAAUUUCUUGAAUGCUUAUUAAGACUGUUCCUAAGGAGAGAAGUGAUCAUGCCCCAUUGUACCAAUCUCUGAAAUAAGUUGGCAUAUGACUCUCCAAUUAGUGUGAAGCUAUCUCUCAACUUCUGUCUCAUUUCAUUGUUUGGCUUGGAUCGAAAAUCAGGCCUAGAAGGACUUUGGUAUGUUUAUGGAGUUAAAGGGUGACUCUGAGGAGUUGGUGUGUUCCACUGUGGGUAACAAAAGAGUUAAACAUAUGGCUGCAUGCAGUACACUAGAUAUGGAGGUGGGUAAAUAGAGUAUAAUGGAUUUGGGUAGGGAUUAUAGAGAGUUUGGGUAUGAAUUUAGGCUUGAGACUGACGGUGACGACGACAUAGUCUUCUUGGUUAUGCUCGUUCUCCAACUACUAUAGCAGCUGUAUCUUUCUCAUUCUUUCUCCCUCCAGUUUUGCUUACUUGAUUGCAAUAUUAUCCUAAAUGUUUCACGAAUUCCUCAUGUUCAUCUUGCUCCUCAAGUUUCAACAUCCCAAGGAUUGAAUGAAGGUUAACACUCGAAGACAUGUUCCAGUCUUUGUAUGUAACAUCUUAUUUACCCACAGGUCCUAGGGAAAUUUUCCUAGUAUUUUUUGCACUCUUCAUUUUUCCAACCAUUUUCUCUGGAUCUUCUAGCAAGCUAGACUUCUGGUUAAAAAAUUUUGGUCGUCCAAUUAACAUUGAUGUGGGCUCGGGAGUAUAGCAAUGAUCAUUAAGAGUAUUGAACAUGAGUCCACUAGCAGCAUGGGAAGGCACAACUAUUGGGAGGCUAGCCAAUGUGGAUGUCUCAGCAAAGGAUAGAGCAACAAAAUCACAAACAGUAUGUGGUGCUAUGAAUGUGGUAGGCCUAUACUGAGGAACUAAAGAAAGAGUGGUAGAAGCAUUGGAAUGCUUUUGGUUUGGAACGAAUUUUGAGUCAUGUUGCAGUGCAUCAACAUUAGAAAAUGGAGCUUGCAAUUGUUAAGGAAAACUCAGGAUAUUUGCGGGGUCAAUAGUAGGGAAUGGAGGAGGAGGCAACCCACUAGCACAAGCUCGAUAUAUUUCCAACAUUUUUUGUCUUAAUCUUAAAUUCUCUUCCUUUAAACUCUCAUUUUUCUGACUCUUUGUUUGAUCCAUGAUGUCACUCUCUACAUCCUUGUUGGACACAAUUAACCUUUUCUUGGAUUUGGUGUGAUGUGGAAGACCAGCUAUAAUGUCACAAUGCCAAAAACCAACCACCUUAAACUAACUGGACAAGAGAUAGCAAAUACGGUAGAGUUCAACACUUUCUCAAAACCUUUCUCUUUUCUUGUUUCCUUUUUCUUUGAAAAGAUCACCGAACCCAACAAGGGUGCCUACGUAUCUCACUCCUGAAAGAAGAGAAUCAAGUAUGCGUAGUUCGUGAAGUUUGACCACAAAAGGGCUAAUAAAACUCUCUUGUGUUCUUCUUUUUAUUUUUCUUGAAAUUUAAGAAUAAAAGAAAAUGACAAAUUUUCAAAAGAAUUGACGAAAAUCUUUUUGAUUUUUUCGGCUUUAACAUCCCUAUACAAAAUAAAACCAAUGGUUACCAAAGAAGAAUCUUUUUGGGUUUUUGAUUUCAAAUUUCAUACGAAAAUGAAAUUUGAACCUAUUAAAGGAAAAUCUUUUUGUAGUUUUCUUUUAAAGAUGUAUAUGAAACACCUACUCUAAAUGAAGAGUGAAAAAAAUCUUUUUAAAUUUUUUUAAAUAAGAUCAACCAAAAAUGAAACCUACAACUAUUAAGAAAAAUCUUUUUGUAUUUUUCUUUUCAAGGCAUAUAUGAAACGCCUACUCCAAAUGAAGAGUGAAGAAGAUUUUUUUUCGAAUUCUUUUAAAUAAGAUCUCUGGUCCCACAAUAGGCUGUCUACGUAUCUCACUCCCGAAAAAGGAGAAUCAAGGGUGUGUAGUUCAUCCAAAUUGGACUAUUUAUGAUUAAAUAACGAACUGAACCCUGACUUGAGAGACACGACCACAGACAGACGAUGAAAAAUGCCGAUAAAAUCUUUUUUGGGAUUUUUUAAUUUGACACUUCACAUGACACCAACUAUGACAGAAAAUCUUUUUGGUAUUUUCAGUACAUGAAUUGUACAAAACUUCUACCAUAUUUUUUUGAAUUUUCCUUUUAUAAGAAGCUCUUAUUGAUUUUUUUUUCGAAUUAUGGAUGCUUACUAAAGAAACAAAGAAAAUUCUUUUUGUUGUUUUUGUUUUUGACAAAAUGAGUGAAAAAGGUAAAAAAAAACUUUUUGAAUUUUUGAAUUGUGAAAAACAAAAGCCAUAAAGAACACUAAAAGUUACGAAACUCUUUUUCGACUCACUUUUUAUUUUUUUUUUCUAUUUUUUCAUGCCUACACACCUUUCUUUAAUUCUAGCACAUGCUUUCCCCAAAUCAGUCCGUCAAAUGACCCUGUUACCCUCAAAGAAGCAAUAUUUAGCAUGCAGGGAUGCUUUAGAGGUGAGUCUCCUACAAAUGUCCACAUGGGUCCCGCUAGGUCUUAAUAUGAUGCAGGUAAAGCAUGACCUAAAGGCUGACCUACGCUAGGGUUCACUAACAAGGCUAUUCGGGGGAGCGUAUGGUCGAUAGUGGCUGCAAAAGCUUUCCACCCACUCCAUACUUCCGACGGCUCCCCAUCCUAAAAUAAGGGUGACGCAACUAGAGUUCGUGUACACGACGUGCACUCCGGAACUUGUUGUAGAAAGAAUUGACUUGGGUUAUGCAAAUGAUGUCAGAUAUAAAGCGGUAACACAUAAAGGAAAACCGUAAACAAAGAGCACGUAGACACUCAACAAUGAUAAAAUAAAUACAAACGGUAACACAAACAAUGUCUAUACACCCAUAAUGCCAAAAUAAGACGAUACAACUCCAAAAAAUAAGCUCGAAUUCUGAAAAAGCCUCAAGUGAUCGCCAGAGCUAUCACACCCCUUUUUUUAAACCAAAAACAGAUUAUGAUUUUAGAGUUUGAAAGGAUUUUUAUUAUUAAAGUGACAAAACAUGAAAAUUUUAUUUCGAAAAAGGAUUCAUUUUUAACUAAAUUCAAAGUCGCCACUUAACAUAAAUUGGGCAUGCCAAGUCACCUUUGGAAAAUCCUUUUCAAAAUGAUUUGACUCUUUAAAACUGGUUUGCGAACAGAGAUUUCGGUUAAGGAAUUCUGUUGACCAAGGGAAAGGUGUUAGGCACUCCUCGAUCCCGUGGUUCGACCACGGUCGCUUGGUGAAGUAUAUCGGCUAAUUUGCCACUUUGAAUGUAUAAACCACACAAAAGCACGCAAAACAAUCAAUCAAGCAAACAAAACGAAACAAUCCAAAAUUUAGUGUCUAGUCUAAUUAUAAGUCCGAAAUAGAAAAGUGCAAAAAAUAUAAAACCUAUUCUAAACUAGUCCUAGACUAAGCUCCAAUGCUUU
rnacentral:lncRNA from 1 species